rnacentral:piRNA from 1 species
UAAGAAGCCAACCUUGAGGGACCACUCAC